rnacentral:rRNA from 1 species
GAUCGCAUGGUGUUCUGGGAAAGCCUUUGCGGCAUGGGAUGGGGUCGCGUCCUAUCAGCUUGAUGGCGGGGUAACGGCCCACCAUGGCUUCGACGGGUAGCCGGCCUGAGAGGGCGACCGGCCACAUUGGGACUGAGAUACGGCCCAGACUCCUACGGGAGGCAGCAGUGGGGAAUAUUGCACAAUGGGCGCAAGCCUGAUGCAGCGACGCCGCGUGAGGGAUGGAGGCCUUCGGGUUGUAAACCUCUUUUGUUAGGGAGCAAGGCAUUUUGUGUUGAGUGUACCUUUCGAAUAAGCACCGGCUAACUACGUGCCAGCAGCCGCGGUAAUACGUAGGGUGCAAGCGUUAUCCGGAAUUAUUGGGCGUAAAGGGCUCGUAGGCGGUUCGUCGCGUCCGGUGUGAAAGUCCAUCGCUUAACGGUGGAUCCGCGCCGGGUACGGGCGGGCUUGAGUGCGGUAGGGGAGACUGGAAUUCCCGGUGUAACGGUGGAAUGUGUAGAUAU